rnacentral:rRNA from 1 species
CACGUAGUUAGCCGGCGCUUUCUCUGCAGGUACCGUCAAUCUCUCUUCUUCCCUGCUAACAGAGGUUUACAACCCGAAGGCCGUCAUCCCUCACGCGGCGUCGCUGCAUCAGGCUUGCGCCCAUUGUGCAAUAUUCCCCACUGCUGCCUCCCGUAGGGGUCUGGGCCGUGUCUCAGUCCCAGUGUGGCCGGUCACCCUCUCAGGCCGGCUACCCGUCGUCGCCUUGGUGAGCCGUUACCUCACCAACAAGCUGAUAGGCCGUGAGCCCAUCUAUAACCACUACAUAACGCUUUCCACCAACACCCCAUGCGGAGAUUGGUCGUAUCCGGUAUUAGACCCAGUUUCCCAGGCUUAUCCCAGAGUUAAAGGUAGGUUACUCACGUAUUACUCACCCGUUCGCCACUAAUCCACCUAGCAAGCUAGGCUUCAUCGUUCGACUUGCAUGUGUUAAGCACGCCGCCAGCGUCGUCUCGAGCCACGGAGUCAAACUCU